rnacentral:ncRNA from 1 species
CCUUAACAGUUACAUUAUGUAAUUGACACUUGCCACGAUAAGGAGAUUUAAAUG